UUUCCGUAGGUGAACCUGCGGAAGGAUCAUUAUCAAAUAAACAAUGUGUGAGUUCAGUCGCUGACCCGCGUGGUCGGGACCGCCCUAGUUCCCUCACACCCCUCCAUCUCCCCCGUCUGUGCUCCACCGCCCGGGUCGCCCUUUGUCUUGUUGGGAGGGGGGCUUCAGUUUUCUCCCAAACUCUGUAUGCACUUUACUAUGUAUUUUUUGUUUUUACCAUCACGCACUCUUUACCAAUUUCAACACCAGAUCUCUUGGCUCUCGCAUCGAUGACUAAAA
rnacentral:misc_RNA from 1 species